UUUGCUCUUCACUAGUAUCAAAUUUCAGCUGUAGUUGCUUUCACAUAUCUAAACUAUUAAAGCAGAAGUACAAUUAGAGCUGAACCCUGAUUUUUCCUUAAUAAUUACUAACUUGUGCCACUGGAAUUAACGUUAAACCUAAAGUCUUAACUCAUUAAGGUUGUUUUGGUCUUUUGCUUGCAUUAACCUAAUUUUUGUUAUUUGAUUGAUUUAAUUUUAACUUUUUUGGCGACAAAGAUAACGAGUGAUGAAUGCCUGGGAAAAUGACGAAGGUGUAAAUUCCUCUUAGCGGUGUUAUUCUGUUUAUCAACGGACGGUGGAGAGCUCAUCGGAGUUGCGUAGCACGAGGCAGAACGAAAAACCUUCCUGUAUUAUUUACCAUCGAAGCUCCGUAGAUCUCACAGUGUGAUCAUCUUUUAAGAGGUUUAUGCGUAAAGGACAUUUGUAUCCACCUGUGCCGUCUGAGGAAGGAGAAGUUCAUGGAAAAGUUUGAUUUUUUAAUCAUUUUAGGAAGGAGAUGUUGUUGAGGGUAAUGAAUAUGAGAGAGUGACAGUUGGUGUUGUAUACGAGGACAAUUCUGAGAAGAUGGCUGUGAAAACAUAUAAAUGGAUCAAUAACGAUUAUAUCAAAGGAGAGAGUGCAUGAAGAAACUUAUAGAUAUGUUCAAAGAUAUCAUGGAGUCGAAGCGAAAUCCUGGAGAGAAGGGAAGGUGUGACUUCAACCAUGUCCUAACCGAAAAGCAAGCCAAUGCUCCAUCAUUUUGAAUAAAAUCUGUGUUAAGAGGAUGUUGUCAUUUUCUCAUUUAAUUUAUGAGUAUAAUAAAACCUAGAGAGUUAUCUAUUGUGGAGAUCAGUGAAAAGAAUAGUAAUCAUACGUUGUUUUGUGGGUUGUAUUAUUGUGUUAUAUAAGUUUUCUAGAGAUUUUGGCAUAUAUCUUGUGAAUGGUUUGGUUGAUGCCAAUGCUUAUGUUUUCU